rnacentral:lncRNA from 1 species
UGACAGCAAAAUUCUGCAUGUUUUUGUUUACAAAUCUUAAUUUCAACAGUUUAAUGCACAAUGUAUAUCAGAUAUAGAACAAAAUUAUCAAAAUGAUAAGUAUCUACAGACAUGAAACACUAUACAUAUGAAGCGUUGGAAGAAAUACAUGUAUGUUCAUAAAUUCACUCGAUAAAGAUAUCAUGGGAGCAAUGACUACCAAGUCAAGCAACAACAAAAAUUGAAACAUGUGCAGCGAGCAACCAGGAUGGCUAUUCCUAUUCACAACAAAUCCAUAAACAGCAACACCAACACUACCUAAUCUAGCUAAGCUCAUGAAUUCAACCGCCAGAGUCGCUGGCGACAACGCCCAAUCUCUACUUUGGCAAGGAACAUUCUCUUGAGUCUGAAAUGCCAAUACAGCAGCAGCAACCCAAUUUCAACCAAGCUCCAUCCAUCCAUAAUCUCGCCUUCCCUCCACAGGAUUGAACAAAAUCAAAGGUGUUUGCAAGUCCACCAUCUCCUCUCCUGUAAACGACCACGACUUGCAGCCUUUUCUUUUCUUUCUAUACAUCUGAUCUCCUCUCCUGUAUUAUUAUUCAAAGAACCAAGUCAAGCCUCUCCAGUCAACAACAGUAAGCAAACAAAGGUGAUGCCUAAAAAGUGAGAAAUCUCCAACUUUAGACAUAGGGAGUUAUCUUCUCGUGUGAAGAAUGCAAGCAUUUUUUUUUUCUUGUCGGAAGAUGAACGGUUUACGAUUCCACAAGUAACUAACGACGGUUCGGAAUUAUGAUAGUCCACAUCCCAGAAAUAAGCAAAGUACCAAACUGACAACACCAGUAGAUGCUAGAUAACACAAGUACUACACCUCCGUCCGGAAUUACAUGACGCUCAAACGGAUGUAUCUAGCACUAUCUGUUUGAGCGUCGAGGAAUUUCGGGCGGAGGGAGUAGAUAGAUAACUAUUAAACAGAGAAGGAACUACCAUGAGAGGUAAAUAUUAUGAAGACACUUGACCUUGAAAAUCUGAGAGAGAGAGAGAGAGCAACCUGCAGCACCCAUGUUGGGUUGUACGUGAUGGUCAAAGGAGUUGUGCGACAAAGUAGGCGACCGCAUCCAGCGCCACCGGUAGCUAGUCAGAAGAAACAAUAAUUAGGCUAAGAGGUUCAUCACAAUUACUCAUUUUUGUAUUUGUAAAUUAGAUAAACACCAUAUGGCAAAAAAACAGGUUAAUGAUCAUUCAAGUUCGGUAAAUACACUAUCGGAACAGGUUAUUGAUUUGCAUUCGCAAAUCGUGAGUCACCCACACCACAAAAGACUUGUAUGAAUUAAACACAGGAAAUGCUGAUUAAAUAAAAUAUAGACAACCCUCUCAAAGUUUAGAUUGCAGAUAACUAUUUCAGCAAGUGAUCUAGCAGGCUAACGUUACAAAUUUCUGAUUAGGUAAACUAGUCGCCAACCUGUGCAACCUGCACGGGCUAGUUACUUGGUUUAAAUGAGGAAUUAUAUUGGAUAUACAAAGAGAUAUUAUAUAUAAACAUAGAUAAAAGAUGGAACCAUUUUUUUUUUGUAUUAGACUCAUGUGGUACAUAAUUCUUUAUGAUCCAUUAGUUCCAAAAUUACAUAACACACAUACUUACAUGGCAAAACUAUGAUUGAUUUUGCGAAGGCAGAUGCGCAACGCCCAUUUUAAGUCCUCCUAGGGAGACUACAAUCUCGAUAUAUUGUUUCAAGGUACUUACUCCCAGAGUUCCCAAACCCAGUCUGCGUAACUAAACAUUUAUUUAGGAAUUAUCAAAAAAACUUCUGCGGUCUAAAAUGAAAAUUCACUUUACAAACUAAAAGAUAAGUGAUACUUAACUGAAUAGAAUAGUGCGCUUUUUGACACCACAUCAGGGGAACAAUCACUUGAACGACACCUUUCUCACUGAAUAAUCUUGGAAUAAUCAACUUUGUGUUAAUAUUCACAAAGUCAUAGACAUAAAGUAAAAAAAUAAUAACGCUAAAUACAGAUUAGGAGAAGACAGGCAAUAUCUAUCUUACUUAUCGGUGUUUCAUAUUACAUUAUUGUCGUGAGAAGUUCAAAAGGGAUUGAAAUCCCCUCAACUGACCUCAGUUGAAGUCACUAAAAGCAUUUGCGGUAACCUCUUUCUCAGUCAUCCAGUAACACCAGACAAGGAAAUAGAACACGUGUGCAAAUAAUAGUGGCGGCGAUACAAAUUGACAACAGUUUAAAAAAAUCAAGUGAAAAAUAAGCUAAGGCACAUGCGAUGCGCUUUUUUGGAGGCAAAAAUUAUUACUUUAUUUUGUUGUAGAAGAAUGCAUAUAAAAAUCAAGAAAAUCGUUUUCUUUGUGUGAUGAGAUUCUCCUGCAAAUCAUCUAACAGAAAGCCUUAGUUUCCGACUUCUAUUUUAACUUCAUUGUUAUCUUAUAAUAACCAAUUCAACAUUUAUGGGACAUGUAACAAACCUACUCGGGACUGAGCGUUUGAUGAUAUCCCUUUUCCAAGUGAAGUUAUCUUAAGUCCUACGGAAAAUACAGUAUGCAAGAAUGAGCUAUAGAAACAAUUCUCAAAUCAUUGACGUUAGCAAGAGCAACAACCUUAAAAAAAUGACCCCAUAUAUACAGCAUCUGGAUAGCUCGUUCGGCAAGAAACACAUAGAAAAACAGCAUGCGAGUCAUUUAGUGGAUUAUACAUCGAGAGUGAACCUUACUUCUAAAACUAACAUAAAAAUCUCCUUGUUUCCCUUUGUCCUGCAUCCAUCAAUGUCGUCACUUGACAACCGAAUAUAUCCAUUAACUCGAUCAUACUUUCAGAACUGUAUAUAUCAAGUUUCAAACACCAAUCAGUUUCUGAACUUCAAGUAGUGAGAUAGGCAAUUAGAACAGACGCUCGUUCCUUCGCUCGUUCGGCAAGAACACAUAUGAAAACAGCAAGCAAGCCAUAUAAUGGAUUAUACUUCGAUAGUGAACUUGACUUCUAAAAUUAACAUUAAAAAAUCACUUUGUUUUCCUUGUUUUCUGCAUCCAUCAAUGUCGCUUGGCAACCAAAAAUAUCGAUUAACUCAUUCAUACUUUCAGAACUUUAUAUCUCAAGUUUCAGACACAUAUUAGUAUCUGAACUUCGAUUGAUGCCAUAGCAAAUUAGAACAGACACUCGUUGUGAACCAAAUUGGAUAAACUGUUGCACAAAAAUCAGAAAUAUGUAUGCAUAACAUUACAUUUACCUAUUGAAACUGGUCUUUGGGCCGAAUCUUCAAAAAAAGGUAACAAAAAACUUCUAUGCGUAUGGGCAGUGAUAUAUAUUUUAAAUUAUCCAUGUAGUAUCCAACACCUCAUGGAUCCAGUGGAUAUGCCUACAGCACGAACAUGAAAAGAUUAACAGGGCGUGAGGACAACGAAUCAAUCCUAGGGAGAGGAGGGAUUGGAGUGGGGAGGCACCUUGAUCCGUGGAGAGGAAAAUAAGCACGCACUCCAUCACAGAUCCGUGGAAACGAUACCUCCGUCGCCGGCGUCCAUCGCCGGCCGGCUGGGCCCUCCAACCGCAAACCCUAACCCUAACAGAGGGGGAAGGAUGAGGGGUGAACAACAUGGACUGUUGGAUCCGCGGCCUGGGUAGGGAGGAAGGCGAGGGCGUGGAAGGGAGGGGGAGAGGGUGGGUGGCCGACGGUGGGUGGGGGCGGAGCCUUGUGGCAGCGGUGGGUGGAUGGGGAUUGGAUCACGGGAGGGAGGAGGCAGACGAGCUGAAAGAUGCGGGAGAGCAGGGGGUUUUAUUUUUUUUAUCUCAAAGUUGUACUUUUUG